GCUUCCGGCGCCAUAACUGCUGCCAUCUUUACGCUAUGGCUGCGUUCAGCCGUCAGAACUAAUUUAUUAUUGUGCAACUGCCAGUCCUGCACAUUCCAAUUAUGGUAAGUGCUCUGCACAGGCAUGUAACAAAACAUAGACCUGUUUUGAAGUGGCUUGUUACCCAAGGGUGCCUCACUCUCAUCUGCACCAACAGGAAGAUGAACUGUGAAGCCUCCUUUAAGGGGCAGGAGGAGCAAAGCUGUCCUAGGCCAACCAGAGAUUCAUCUUUCAUGCACAGUGACACGUUGAUAAGAAAUUAUAGUCAGUAUGAAACUGAUAACAGGCUGUAGAUGGCUUUCUAUGGUAUAUCCCAGUCUCUUGCAAACGAUUGUGAAGAAUGCCAGUAUUGUUUAAGAUUCAGCAGUUUGUGUGGGGAGGCGGGGGCAGGAUGGGGGUUUGGUUGCCUAAAGAGUUUGGGAAAUGCUAGCUUAAACAAAAAAGAGAGAAAGUUUCUUUCAUGUCAGGAUUUAUGAAUGCCUGAGUCCAGUGUCAGUGAUGAAUUUCUAGUGACGGUCUUCGAGACUUUCUAAAUAUUAAGCGAUC
rnacentral:sRNA from 1 species